rnacentral:rRNA from 1 species
UAUGGGUUAGUGGCGGACAGGUGAGUAACGCGUGGGCAACCUGCCCUAUACAGGGGGACAACACUUAGAAAUAGGUGCUAAUACCGCAUAACGGGGGGAGCCGCAUGGCACCCCCUGAAAACUCCGGUGGUACAGGAUGGGCCCGCGUCUGAUUAGCUGGUUGGCAGGGUAACGGCCUACCAAGGCGACGAUCAGUAGCCGGCCUGAGAGGGCGGACGGCCACACUGGGACUGAGACACGGCCCAAACUCCUACGGGAGGCAGCAG